AUUUCCAACACCAAUUAUUUUGGUAAAUGAUAUUACCAUCACAAACAUUAUUAUUCCCUCCUCUUUCUCUUUACACAAAAACACCUUUCUUCCUCCUCUGUUUUCCAUCUCUUAUCCUGAAAUCCCACCACCAUGCUUGAUUCCGGCACCAAACACCCAGAAAACCGUAUCCAUUUAUACGACCCGGUUGGCCUUUUAAACGACGGGUAUGGAAGUUUCAGACCGUCAAGUCACGCUACCCGACCCAAAAGACACACUGUAUCUUAUGAUAAUUUUGUAGAAACCAGUGCUAAUAAUAAUUCGGGUUCCGGGUUAGGAUCUUAUGAUAGCUUCACCGAUGCGAAUAGUACCGGUGGGUUACGAUCUUACGAUAGCUUUGAAGUUGAUAGUUUGGUGUUAAGAUCUUAUGAUGAUAGCAGCUUCAAUUUAGACACCGCCAAUGGCGGCAAAACCACCACCGCCGCCGCCCCCACCACCACCACCGCUACGGCUGAUCAUGAUGAUAAAGACAGAAAUGACGGUGGUUUAAGGUUUAUCGUAGUCAACAUCGCUGUUGAGGAUGAUCAGUCUGAUGAUUCAACACCACGCUUGUGGGGCCCAAAAUCUCCGAGAAGUCCUAAAUCUCGUCGUUCUCCUCUUCAUCAAUCAACCACUGCUGUCAAUUCAGUAAAUUCAUCUUCUUCUCUGAAUCAUCAACCCAGUAGUCCUAAAUCGUCUGCUGUUAAUUCAGUAAAUUCAUCUUCUUCUCUGAAUCAUCAUCAACCCAGUAGUCCAAAAUCUGUUAAUUUUUCACCCAUGAACCCCACAAUUGUUAAAUCAGUUGUUAAUCCACAAAAUUCAACAACCAUAAACCAGCAACAAUAUCUAGCAAUGUCGCCUAGUUCCAGAACUCAAGCAAUCGCCAAGGGUCGUAAAGAAUUAAUGGACAUGGUUAAGGACUUACCCGAGUCGUUCUACGAGUUGUCAUUAAGAGACAUAGUAGAUCAGAAAUCCGAGUUGCCGACUCAGAAGGAGAAGGAGAUUGAUAUUCCUGAAGAAAAGAAGGCGAUAAUCAAGGAAACAAUUAACUCUAAAGAGACAAAAAAGCAGAAGAAGAGUAGCAGUAAGAAGGUGAAGAAGAGUGAGAGCAAGAAGAAGAUGGUGAGAAGUAGAAGUGUUGAUAAUGGAAGAUUUCUUCUGAAAACUUCUGUGUUUCCGAUUCUAGGGACGAGAAAAAGUAAGAAGAGUAUGAGUGCUGCGAGUAGUUUUAAGGUGGCGCCGAUGCCGAAAGUGGGGUCCACAUCGGCUUCUGCACCGAUGAAGUUUGGUGAUAAGGAUUGGUGGAGAAGACGAUCGUGUAAAUCAAUUGAGGGUGAUGAUAAGAGGAAUGGUCUUAGUAGUCAGAGUAUGAGCAGUCGGAGCAGUAGUAGCACCAGUCGAAGUAAUAGCAUCAAUGGAAUUGGAAGGCGCAGCAAUAGAUUUCUACCUAGCUGUUGCAUGUUCAAUGGAAGAAGAAUCGAAAGCAAGAAAUUGACCUGAACACAGAUGCCUCUUGGAAACAUGAAGGCAAUAGCUAUAUCAGUAUAUCGUUUGUUGAGAUAAAACAAAAUGUAUCAGACAAGUUUGAGGGACUAAAGAGGCCGAGGAAAAGAACAUGAAGUGGUCAAUUGUGGGACUUGCAACAGUUACAACCUCGAAUCAAAAAGACCAUUGAUAUCCAGGAGAGUUUUUAAACCCUCAAUCAGUGUUUUUCAAUGUAGAAGAUUCUCUGACACGAAACCUUCACUGUCUGCAACAGAUCGAAUAACGUAUUGUCUUAGAUUCUACUAUGAUCAGUUUUAUAUUUACACGUACAAUCACAACAACUUUAGACGAAAGCACAAUGUCAUGUACAAGUACUACGAAGGCCAAUUAUUUGUACUACUAAAUGAAUUAUUGACCUGAUACUGAUUACUUACUGAGUGCAAUUAGCAGUAGCAGCUGCUGUUACUAAA